rnacentral:lncRNA from 1 species
GGGACCUCAUUUUUCUUUUAUUGAACGUAAAAAGAGAUUAGUUGUGUUAUACAAAAGUGCAUCUGUUUUACUGGCAUCAGAACUAUAGCAGAUGACAACACCAUUUAGUUUCAUUUUAGUCAUACUCACCAGAGUGAGUAAAACAGUGUUGGAAUAAAUAAAAUAAAAUGAAUCUCUUUCUACCACAAUUUAUAAACAUCUGCCUCUUCUUGCAACAUCUUCUUCUUCUUCUUCUUAAUAUUCUGUCGAUUAAUGAAAAUGUUGCCUUUAUGUAUAUAUACUGGUUGAAGCUCAAAUCAACUAGUAUUUGGUAUGUCUCUUAUUGACAGGCUCCUUUGAAUGAUGAUGCAUGGUGAUAUAUAUACUAGGGGAGAGUUAUAAAGAAAGGGCUGAGGGCAGCAUGCAUGCAUGAUGAGGAAGUUACAGAGACAGACAGACACAUGAUUACCUUUUUUUUUUUUUAAUAUAUUUGACUGCUGAGUUCUUUGAUUUAACAUACAAAAUUUCGUAUUUUAAUAAUUAUAUGUUUUAUUCUUUAACCGAACAUAUUGGAUAUUUGUGGAUACCUCUUUUAAAAGCCUCUCGCAUCCGGUGCACCCUUUUAACAAAU